CAGGAACCCGCCCCCUGCAAGGGGGCAGGCUUGCUCGCACGAGCAAGUCUCAUCUUGACCAGUCUCAGCCACUAGCCUCCUUGAGGCUAACGGGGCUCCGUUCAGGAAGAAACGAGGUACGUCCAAGUGCUUCACCAGCUUGGACCUCUACG
rnacentral:sRNA from 24 species